rnacentral:rRNA from 1 species
UACGUAGGGACCGAGCGUUGUCCGGAUUCAUUGGGCGUAAAGAGCUCGUAGGCGGCCACUCAAGUCGAAUGUGAAACCUCGAGGCUUAACCUCGAGCCUGCAUUCGAUACUGGGCGGCUAGAGUCUGGUAGGGGGAUCUGGAAUUCCUGGUGUAGCGGUGGAAUGCGCAGAUAUCAGGAGGAACACCGGUGGCGAAGGCGGGAUCCUGGGCCAGUACUGACGCUGAGGAGCGAAAGCGUGGGGAUCAAACAGG